AUCAGGGAUUACUACCUCCAUCCAUGUUUAACAUUUAACCAUUCAUUUUAUUUUAAAAAAUUAUGAUUAAUAUUUUUGUUAUUAUUAAAUGAUAAACAUGAAUAGUACUUUAAGCAUAACUAAUUUUUAUUAUUAUUUUAUAAAAUUUUUGAAUAAGAUAAACAAUCAAACAUUGGAUACGGAAAUUCACGACUGUACUUAAA
rfam:Oryza punctata chromosome 4, whole genome shotgun sequence.